rnacentral:rRNA from 1 species
GAAAAGAACCCCGGGAGGGGAGUGAAAUAGAACCUGAAACCCUGCACUUACAAGCUGUGGAAGCACAUUUCUUGUGUGACCGCGUACUUUUUGUAGAACUGGCCAACGAGUUACGUUAAGUAGCAAGGUUAAGCACUUAAGGUGUGGAGCCGUAGCGAAAGCGAGUUUUAACUGAGCGUUCAGUUACUGGACGUAGACCCGAAACCGGGCGACCUACCCAUGAGCAG